rnacentral:lncRNA from 1 species
UGCAAACUUUACACACGCCGCACGUUCCCAUGUAUCAAAAGCCUUUGUAAAUAUCCUUUUGCGGAUGUAAAAUGGAAUGGUAGUGCCAGACGGAUCGAGGUAGAACUUCACUCUACGAACGUCUCUGACCCGGGCAGUAGCAGGGAUGACUGCAUUACAGGUUUGUCCGGAUGAUGUUAUUAUGGAUGCGAGGAGGAAGAAACCAAGGAAGACAAGAUAUGACAUGGUGAAUUAAUGUCAAGAAUUUAGUUUCAAGCUUUGGGAAAUUGUGAUGUCUUCAAACUCAUCAUACACACCCAUAUUUAUACAACUUUUCUACAAUGUGAAUUUAAUGAGUUGAGAAUAAAAUGUUGACCGUAUUAAAGAGGGUGGACCCGUUUAAUGAAUAUUGAUGUCGAAAAUAUUUUAUUUUAUCACAUCAAAAUAAGUAGACAGACUUCAUUCUAUAUAGAGUUCGGUGAUAUCUCAAUUCUCACUAUUAAAUCCAAUUCCAACGACCCCACAUUUGAUUUCUACUUAUUCAUUUUGUUUAUUAAUUUAUUUAAAUAUCAUUAAAUAUGCACAUUAACUUGUAAAUUGUAAUCGGAAUCGCAUAAAUUUAGAUUUUUAUAUAAUUAAAUUGAGAUUUUGAUAUAAUUAAAAAGAUUUUGAUGUAAACUGACUUUUCAUGUCGAGAAAAAAAAUAUAAUUAAUGUUGACAAAUUUAUUUGCCCUACCUACUAAUUCUUCUGAUCAUUUGCAAUUUAUUUGGUAUCGAUAUAUAUUAGUGUGUCCAAAUUAUCAUACAAUUUUGCAUAUAUUUGCAAGUUGAAUUUUACAACUGGAAAUAGAUUACAAUUUAAAAACUUUUUUAAUUAAAAAUAAAAUAUUUUUAUUUUCUAACUUUUCAUAUCGAGAAAAAUUUAUAAUUAAUAUUAACAAAUACUUUUGUCCUAACUAGUUGUUUUUCAAUUAUCAUUAAUUCGUUAUUACACAUAUUUGCGUGUCNNNNNNNNNNNNNNNNNNNNNNNNNNNNNNNNNNNNNNNNNNNNNNNNNNNNNNNNNNNNNNNNNNNNNNNNNNNNNNNNNNNNNNNNNNNNNNNNNNNNGAAACACCCCGCUUACUAUCAGAAAAGGCGAGCUGUUUGAGAAGCUAAAGAGCCGAGCGGAUCUACCUGUCCCUCGUUCUUUAGACCCUGCAGGCAAAGAGGGCCGCAUGCAAUCUGGGAAAUACUGUGAAUUUCACAAAGACUGCGACCACCUAACAGAUAACUGCAGGGAAUUCUCGUCUUUCGUUGAGCAGUUGAUCUCAAAGGGAGAACUUGGCAACUUCGUCAAGAACUCCCGAGGACAAGACAACUGCAAACCUGACACAAAGGGGAAGCGUCCACGCUCUCCUUCGCCAGACAGUGACAACAGCGAGAACCGCCAGCGGAAGACCAUCAAUAUGAUAUUUGGUGGUGGAUCCGUUGGCAAGUGGCACUAGGGAAGGGGUUCCCCUGCCUUAAAAGCCAAGCUGUGACUGUCCUGGAAGAGCACCAGGGCAGGUUCGUUCGGGGGGGUGAGGCACCGACACAGAUUGCGCGCACAAACUGAACGUCGGCUCAUCCAUUCCAGCUCGACGCCAGAAGCGUCAAACACUCACUCCCGACAGGCGGGAGUCAGCCAAAGGAACCUGGGCAGACAAGUUGUGCAAAAUCCUAUGGGCAUAUCGCACCACGAGGAAGAGCCCUACGGGCUAGCAUAACAGAAAGGAAUAGGCCAAGAAAUAAACUAUCUUCCAACUCCGAAGGUCCCUACAUCGUUAAGGAGGAGAUAAGGCCAGGAGCUUAUCGCCUACAACGACUGGAUGGAGCAAUGAUUCCUAACACCUGGCAUGCGGACAACAUGCAGCAGUACUACGCAUAGUACUCACAAGCAUCAAGUUUAUUUUCUUUAGUUUUCCUAGUAUGUAUGUUAGCUAAUUAUAAAAUAUAUAUACGCAUUCUAACCCGUAUGGAUACCCUAAAUCUAUUGUGUCGCUUUGGCCUCAGUAGAACAAAGAUCAUUCCGUCGCUACGGCCCUAAUAAUCCCAUCCAAUCUUGUCGCUAAAAAGCCUUGAUAUUGAUCAACAAGUCACUCCGUCACUAGGAUAGGAGUCGACUACAUCGUCAAGGGUUCAAAUCCAGGGUUAGAAUAAAUAGGUCCAAUUCAGACACGCGUUGCGACCACAACUCUUAUUCGCACGAGCGAAUCAAAAACUAGUGGAUAUCAAACCACUUUCGCCUAUCGUGUUUAACUACGAUUCAUACGCCCAAACUUACGCUAAGUAAGGUGGAAAGAAUCUAACUUACGUCCAAAAGCGACUAAGUUACGAUUUAUGAUCCAACUACGAUUCGUACGACUAAACCUAUGUCCUAAGAAUCUAACUUACGUCCAGAGCGACUAAGUUACGAUUUAUGAAUCUAGUUUAACUCUAAAAACAUAUUAGCAAAAAAAAGGUGAUUUCAUUAACACAAAAAAUAGAAGGAAAUCUAUUACAAUAAUAGUUCAAUCUUCUUUCCUCGCUUCGCGAACAUCGCUUUUGAUCUUAUCUAAAGCCUCCUUGUGCUCCAGCUGCACUUCAGGAUGUUCUUCUAGCCACGCCAUAAUGUCUGAAAUGUAGUUGGCGGGCAGACUUGUAAACACGUGAGGUCCGAAAAAGUUCACGUCUUGGAGUUGAUCGGAUUGACCAUCAACUUCGAACUCCAAGUCCUUCACCUUCUCAGAAGAAACGUCCAGAGCUUCCUUCAUCUUCUUCGACUCCUCCGUGGAUCGAGAGAAGCGAUCUUGUAAAUCCUUCAGGGCAGAGGUGGAUUCAGAAACUUCAACUUGCAAUUUCUGAAUUUGUGUUUCAGAAAUCAUCGCAUUUCCCACUUCCACGUCCAGCUGCGUCUUCAGCAUAUCAAUUCGUUUUCGAGCAGCAGCGAGAAGCGACUCAUUUUCUUUCAGAGAGUCACAGCUUCGGCGAAGAUCAGUAAUUUCAAGUCGGUGCGCAGCGCACUCUUUGUUCUUCGCCGCUAUCGCUUUCUCGUGCUCAGCAGCUUGUUCCUCCAACUUCUUAUUCCGUUGGAGGGUCUUUCUCAACGACCACACUUCUUUACAGACAGCUUGAUACUUGUCAUCAAGCUUGUUAUACUCCUGUUGAGAACGGAGUGUGUCGUUCGCAGAUUGCAUCCCAAUGGUUGCAUUCGAUAGAUACGCGACCUACAAAACAAAACAAUCAAUUAGUAAAAUAAAAUAAAGCAAUUAUGCGUAACAAGCGAUUGUGAAUCACUUACAGCAGAUAUAGCUUUUCCAAGCUCUUCACGUAUCCAAUCCCCAGAUUAGUCAGAAGCAGCUUGGCAGCCUUCGUCCGCACCCCUUCAUCAGCAAACAAGCCCGGAUAAUCAAAUGUGGUGCGGAAGGGGGCGUACUCAGGAACAGACCUCGAGCUCGACCCAGUCUCGAAGGUUCUGCGGGGGCCAGUCUCUUGGGCCUUCCGUUCUCUUAUCAGCUUAGCGCCGCGAAGUCUCACGGCCAAAUGGGGAAGAACUGCCUCGCGGUAGAGAUGUGCACCCUUCUUCUUCUUUAUCGGGUUGCCAGAAGGGUCCUCUGACCGCAGGUAGUGUGCCACGUCAGAAAAAGUAAAGUCCUCUCGCUGGCACAAAGCGAAAGGAACUCCUUGCCCACAUUCAAAAGAAGCGAGAGCAGAAGAGAUCUUCUUCACCCGCUUCAGUUCAGCCUUGCUCAGGGCGCAAGGAACAUCCAGGUGUACGCGGCGAGCGUUGGCCCACCUCUCGCGACUCCCGCGUACAAAUGUAGAAUCGAUAAAAAAGAACUCACUCUUCCACUGAGGCCCAUAGUUAGUGGGGAGUUCUAUUAUCAGCUCUCUUCCGCUAAACCGCUUUGCCAACCCCAACCGACCAGAUUCGGAAGCGGGCGCCUUGACAAAUUUAAAAAACCAGAAGAACAAGGCGGCGGUUGCAGGGAUGUUCAGGAUCCAACAGAUGUUGGAGAAUCCUCUCAAGUACACAAAAAACGCUGCCUGCAUCUGCGACAGCGACACCCCCCGUGAAGAAGCACUUCACUCAUCAGUGCUGGAAUCGGCAGCAUCGAGAAGUGUCGGAAAUAGAGGCGGGGGAUGGCUUGAAACCCGGCUGGAGGCAGGUUCGCGGGCUGAUAUUGCGACCCCCAGAACCGCAAGUGCCCAGAAAUACGAAUCCCCCGUAAAAUCUCACGGGCUUCAAGUGCAGAAGUUAUCGAGAAUGGAUGCACGCUCUCGUUCUGCGGCACGAGAGGUGCAUUGACAGAAACUUCUUCAAAGGACCCCUCAUCCGUAUCACUGAGGGGUAACAAUCUGAUUUCACCACCCGGCAGAGUUUCGCAGUGAGCAUAGCCGGUGUGGUUCUCAACUCCCUCGUAGAAUAGGAGGUUUACAUGAUCUCCAUCCUUGUCCAUUUCCAAAGGAGGAGGAGGAGUGUUCGAUCUGUCAUCGCGGCUUCGACUCUGGCCGCGGUCAACUGGAAUCUCCUGAGUAUAGUUAAAGGGCUCAGGUACCCUUACAUCUUCCGCAGAGGGGAAGUGCACUUUUCCUCUACCACCCAUCCCAUAAAUAUGAGGAAUGGGGGCAUUAAUGUUGUCAGACUUCUCGGAAGAAUCCCUAGCAUGUUUAGGGUGCUUCCUCUUUCUCUUCUUCGGCCUCUCAAAUUCAUCAAUCGGCCUGUCAACAUCCACCACUUGGAUAGGUGGAAAAUCUUCAAUUCCAACCCCCGAGUUUGGGGGCAAUGUCGGCGACUUAAGUGUUGAACUCGCCGAUGUUGGUACGGAACUCGCCGAUCCGAGUUGAAUUACUCGGCGAGGUCUCUUAAACAUGGGGACAACCCCCUUGCCUUUGGCCAGCGACUUCCCAAGGGGACUCGCCGACUUAGCUGCAAGAGUCGGGGGAUCUCACCCAGUUCAAUAAGGGGCUCUGCCACGACCAGAGUCAGGGAGUCAUCCGUCAAACUCGCCGAUUUCUUGCUAGAACUCGGCGAGUUUUCAGGAGUCAGCCCGAGCAACUCGCGGGCAGUAGCAAGGAACCUGACGUUCUGAGGCGCGUCGACAGCCGGAAUCUCCGACCCACCGCGCGAAGGCGAGGGAAUCGGAGACUCGACGGUGUCGAGCACCCCCGUCAGGCCUUCAUCUAUAUCAUCGUUCAGUAUGUCGGCGACCAGAGUUUCGGUCUCCGACAUUGUCAAUCUAGGGAGAAACGGUUCGUCUGCCAUAAGUCGGCGAUUUAGAAGUAGACUCAGAGACUUGGUGAAAAGAUCUGGUGAUUGUAAUGAAAGUCGGCGAGUUAUGAAGAAGCUCGGUGACUUAGAAAGGGAUUAGGGUUUAAGCAAAAUCAGGGUAAGUGGUGUGCGGAUUAAAAUAAUCGACUCACUAUUUAUAGACCCUGGGUAAAUUGCAACCCCCCCGGAGAAUCUACAAAUUACGCGAAGAAAAAUCGCUAAUUGAUCUCCAAAUCCGCAAACUCGGCGAGUCUCUCGCAAACUCGCCGAGUUUGGGAAAAAAUCACGGGAUACGAGGAGGAAAUUUCCAUACUUGGAAAAUUUGCAAAUAUUUCCCAAGAUCCUAAGGAUUCUCGAAGAGAUCCGCCAGCUCAUACUAAAACUCGCCGAGUUUAUAGGAAAAUCGCCGAUCCAGGUCAGCGAAUCUCCAGGUUUCUCAAAAAAUACCUUCAAUACUAAGUCGGCGAGUUAACACUUUAAGUCGCCGACUUAGGAUAUACACAGUAUCUUAGGGGGAAAAUCACAAACCUCCUUCCACAACUUCAGGGGAGAGUAUCACAAGCUCUCCCGACAUUUCUAUCGCUUUGGCUAGAAAUAGUCAAACCUCAGGGGGGAGUAUCACAAGCUCUCCCGACAUUUCUAUCGCUUUGGCUAGAGAUCGUCAAAACUCAGAGGGGAGUAUCACAAACUCUCUCGACUUUUCUGUCUCCGGCCGGAAAUUGUCAAAACUCAGGGGGGAGUGUCACAAACUCUCUCGACUUUUCUGUCUCCGGCCGGAAAUUGUCAAAACUCAGGGGGGAGUAUCACAAACUCUCUCGACUUUUCUGUCGCUCCGGCCGGAAAUUGUCAAACCUCAGGGGGGAGUAUCACAAGCUCUCCCGACACUUCUGUCGCUCUGGCCAGAAGUCGUCAUACAUAAGCACGGUCAGUCUGUCGCUUCAGCCAGAUUCACCGAGGAGUGGUUAAAGUAAGGAAAAGAGUAUCGCAAGAGGUAUUUUCGGUCAAUAAUCAUAUGCGUUUUCAGACUGAUCUAGUUGUUUUGCAGGAUGUUUUCUUUUGUUGUUUUGCAGGACGUUUUCUUUUUUGCAGGUAUUAUUCUGUCGCUUUGGCAAGAAUAAGACUCUAAUAGUGAGUCCAAGUAUCUUGUCGCAUUCUGCCUUGAUACACUAGAGAUCGUUCUGUCGCUUUAGCCUUAACGAUUCUCAACCCAUCUUGUCGCUAAAAAGCCUUGAAGGGGGCCGUCGUUGCGGACUUUAAGUCGCUCUUGAUCAGAGUGGACUAUAAACAUUAGUUCUAUCGCUUCGGCUAGAACUUGGGUCUAUCGCUCUGGCAAGAACCCGAUUAUGUCGCUAAAUAGCCUUAAUCGAUUCCGUCGCUUUGGCCGAAAUUUAUCUUGUCGCUUCGGCCUCGAUAACACAGUGCAGUCGCCCCUGAUCAGGGAAGGACUAUAAACAUGAGUUACCGUGGCCUGGAACUCGAUCUAUUCUUAUCGCUUUGGCCUAUGGAUUCUGAAUCAUUACGUCACUGUGGGCGGAUGAUUCGAUCUCAUCUUGUCGCUUUGGCCUUGGUGCUGGGUCUAACACUUUGAACCUUGAUUGACGGGGGGGGUACUAGUGAUACACCAUGUUUCUUGUGCUCUCUUCAGGGGGGAGUACUGGAGAGACAUGCCUGAUUACACCAGUCACUACCCAUCAACGCCUCUCAACAAGGACUAGGGCUCCGUCGCUAUGGCAGGACCCCCGGAGAGCUCCCACGGUGCGGAACACGUUCAUCGUCUAGAUCGCCGAGUUAGCCCGUAAAGUCGCCCGAUUGGACUACCAAGUCGCCGACAUACAGGAUAACUCGCCGAGUUAAGGCAAGAUCGGCAGUAUGGUAGACUGUACAUCUUGGACCUAGAAACUCGCCGAGUUAGCCCUUAACUAGGCGACUUCCAUACCUGAAUCGGCGACUUACGACCGUUACUCGGCGGCAGCCAACGUCAUAAAUGUUACCAUAUAUGACCAUAGGCGCGAUCUCCGCCGAUGAGUGCGCCCUCCGAGACCCUAUAAAAGGGGUCCCAAGGGGACACUCAAAGGCACGAUUCAAGUUCCACUCUCACACCAGAGCACCACACUACGAAACUCGGCGAGUCUCAUUAGAAUCGCCUAGUUUCCACUUGCAGGUAUUUGAUGUAGAGCGUGCGUCGUGGACUCCAAAGCCUCCGGCAUCAACCUCGCACCACCUCGAGCCCUGGUAGCAGAUUCAGUGCUUCAUCACCUAUGUAGACGAUCUAUUGGUCACAGGGAAUAACAUUAACUAAAUAAAUAAAACAAAAAUGGAACUAGCAAAUUUUUUCAACAUAAAAGAUCUAGGAAAAUUAAAAUAUUUCCUAGGACUAGAAUUCACCUAUGCACAAACAGGAAUAUACAUGGGACAAAGAAAAUAUAUACUAGACCUGUUAGAAUCAACCGGGUAUCUGAAUUCAAAACCAAAAACUACACCAGCAAAGAAAAUAACAAAAAGGAAAAUGAUGAAACAGAACUCGAGGAUGCCACACAAUACAGGAGCAUAGUAGGAAAAUUAAUGUACCUGCUAACUGUAACAAGACCAGACAUAACAUACGCAGUAAAUACACUAAGCCAAAACAUGGCUAAACCAAGGCAAAAUGACCUAAACGCAGCACAUAAAGUGCUAAAAUAUAUUAAACAAUCACCUUGUUUUGCUAUCUCUUUCUCAGGAUCCAACACAUCAGGAUUAAGAGCCUUCUCAGAUUCCGAUUGGGCAUCAUGUCCUUCAACAAGGAGAUCGACAACAGGGUUCGCCAUAUUUCUUGGGGGAUCUCUAAUAUCAUGGCAAACAAAAAAACAACACACAGUUGCUAGAUCAUUAGCAGAAGCGGAGUACAGGGCAUUAGCAUAUACAAGUUACGAGAUAACAUGGAUCAUCAAUCUACUAAAAGAAAUCAGAACUUACAAGAAUGAGACACCAAUCCUUUACAUGGACAGCAAGUCUGCAGCAGCAAUAGCAAAGAACCCAGUACUACAUCAAAGAACAAAACACAUCGAGAUUGAUAUUCACACAGUGCGCGAUAAAAUCAUGGAAUUUUUUUUGAAGAUAGACAGGACUCGAGAAUGAAUGUAGCCAACAUGUUUACAAAGCCAGUAAUGGGAACAUUGUACAAAAUACUACUGAUGCAACUCGGAAUGAAGAACAUACAUCAAGGAAGAACAGAAAAUAAAAUCAAAGAAGGUGAAGGAAGGGAAGAAAACCUUUGACACCGAAGCGACUCCUGCCAAAACCCUAGGAUCACCAGCCGACAAUAUUCAAAGAAAAACCCCACACACGCCUUUUAUAGUAACACCAAUAAAACUAACCCAAUAAAUCCCUAUAUCCAUAUAUCCGAAUAACCGAAUAUCCACAUCCAUAUAUCCGAAUAUAAGCCCAUAACCCAAAUACUAGCCCAAAUCUUAGUAGCUUAUGGCCUUAUUUUCGAGGGAGACUAUUAGAAUUAUUGGGAAAAUUAUCCCUCUAGUACCUACAAAACUAUAAUAUCUCAUUACUUAUUAUCCAAUCCAAUCAUUCUCAAUAUAUACCUACUUCCUAAUAUAUUACUCCCUAAUAUAUCUAUUUCCUAAUCCAAUUUAUUACCAUAAUUAAUCACACCAACCAAACCUACCUAAACCUUUAUAGCCGUUGGGUUUCUACCUCUAUAAAUAUGGAUCAUCAUAACAUAACCUAUAGGUUUUGGAUUCAAGUUUUUGGUCCCAAAUCACCAUCUCUAUCUUCUUCAAUCUGUUCUCUGGAAUCUGCAAUCUGUCCUCUGGAAUUCAAAUCAUCUGAUCAAGCUUGCUCUUCAUCUGGAGAUUAUUCAUUUGAUCUGUUCAUCAUCUUCAUCAUCUCCAGCAACUACAUUCUGCAAUCAUCUUAAUCUUCACGAAUCUGUAUUGUCAUUUACUUUCCAACAAGUUCAAUAUUGUCAUACAUAAAUAUUGCAUUACAUCUCAAAUACUUGGAUAAUCAUACAUCAUAAUUAUAUAAUUCUAACAACAAUAGACCCAACAAAAGCCGGUAGCAGAUCCACAACGCUAUGCAGAUUGUUAAGCAUCAUCCAAGACACCUCUCGUGGGAGUACCGGAAGUAUAUCCUUAACUUUAAACGACAUCUUCAACACGUCCACACCCAACAACGAUCCCCAUCUUCCGCCGCACACCGCGAGCCACAAAACCCACAGGAAAGCAGUUGUCGUGGUCAUGAGGUAGCGAAAGCUGUGCCUGCCUGGUCAUUUAAUUGCCACACGGAACAGUGGAAGUUUUGCCUUUUGGCAUUUGGUGGUAUAUUUAUCAAAACCAUAUACUUAAAACUCAUUCCCAAUUUCCCACACUAUUAUGUGCAACGGGGGAUGAAGAAAUUACUGGUGGAUACCAUUUGGGUAGACGAUGAACCGGAACCAUGAAAUGGACAAUCGAUAAGGACUGGAGCCAUCACCUGAACAAAUGAACUAGAACCAUUACCGGAAUAAAGGAAGACGCCGAAAACUGGAAUGCACUCGCCGAAAACGGAACUGCGGAAGACGGACAUGAUCGAGAAACAGAACGAUGAACGAAGAAGAACGGAAAUCGUCGAUCGGAAACCCAGAAAUAGACGGCGGAAAAAAACUAGCCGGAGAACUGCGGAAGACAAUCGACUGAAAAUAACCGAGGAAAAAAACUAGCUGGAAAAAAGCCCCUUGAACAAAUGUCACAGUCAUAUCAAUUAAAUUAAUAAUUUCUAAAUUAUUUGAAAACAAAUCUUUAAUGAGUGAGGUAACUUUCCGUUUAUCCAAAUUUUGUGGUUCAUUAAAAGAUUGCUCGUCUGUACAUAUAUGUGGUAUAUAAAAAAGAAAACAAGUUAAAAAUUAAAAUACAGUUUUUUUUAGAUACGCUCAAAAUCACUCACCCUAUCUAAACUAUUGGAUCUUCUUAUAGUCAAUCUUAGUCGUUAUUUUUUUAAUCAUUAAAGCGGUUUGGACCCAGAGUCCCGAGUUCGGGUCCAGAUUAGCCAGACCCGGCUGGACCUAGACCCGGAUAUUAUAAUUGUUAGAUAAAUAUUUUAUAAUAUAUUAGUAAGUUAAGGUUUAAAUAUAAAUAUUUUAAAAUAUAUUUUAUAAUAUAUUAAUAACUUAAGGGUUAAAUAUAAAUACACCAUUUAUAUUUUAUAGAAUUUGUAUCAGUUAAUCUGAUCCGUCGGUUGUCUAAUCGAUGGAUCAAAUAUUGAAUUUUGAUUUUUUGGUUAAUUUUGUCAUUAGUAAUGUUUUACCUGUUUUUGUAGGUAAAGUUUAUAAGGGUUGAUAGGUUAGGUUGAUACGUGUGCAGUUAUAGGUCUUUUAUUAUAUAUUUAUUGCUUUGUCUUGUCUAUGUGCAUGUCUUCUUCUAUUUCAGUUCAUCAUUCUCCUGUUUUUCUGUUUCUUCUCCUGUUUUUCUUAUUUUUCUCCAGUUUUUCUUCUUUUUCGGUGUUGAGUUUAUCAUUCUCAUGUUUUUCUCCUUCUUCUUUAGUUUUUCUUCUUCUUUUUAUUUGAAACUGGAUUUUCCAUUGUAACAGGUGUUUUCUUCUUCUUCUUGGGUUUUAUUUUCUUUAUAUUGAUUUUACCAUUUUCCAGUUUAAUCUCAUCUGUUUAUUUGGUUUACAUUCCUUUGAUUUCAGUGCGUUAGGCCCUAGGGCAGGAGUUAUAAAUACCUCCCAUGGUGCAGAAGGGAGGGGGAUCGGUUACCUGAGAAUAGGAAUAGUAGAGAAUUGUGUGUGUGAGCACCUCAGCGCGAGCCCACACACCAUCAACGGUGAACCUGACGUGAAACUAAUACUCAACCGGAGAGAGGAUGGUCGGAGGGAGCUGGUUCCACAAAGGGCAAAGCUCGAAGCAGCUCGGGCAGAAACAGCUCGCGACAGGGAGCUGAGCCCGAAUACUGCAAGGGCGGAGCGAUCGCGAGAGGAGGGGAAGACUCGGAUAGAUCCGAUCCCUACUUCUCAUACAGAAAGCAGUGCGUCGCCUGGGCGCUCGAGACCCAGGAGGCAGCGUGGAGGGCGAGAAUGGAGGAUGCGGACAGGGUGGCCUGGCACAAGGAGAGGGACGCCGCAAAGGAGAUGGCCCGACGUUUGAAGAAGGACGACAGACGUAGGGAGGAGAGGAAACAGAGACGGGAGAGGCGGGACCGCUCCCGGACCCCAACGGAGAGGGGGGAGCGCCGCAGGAGGAAGCCCUUAGAAAAUGCGAAGCUCUCGGAAAUGGUCUCCGCUCUACAGAACAGCCAGCGGCAGUUGCGAGAAUAGGUCCUCCAACUAACCGCCGAACGGUGAGUGCUGGAGUCGGAUGGCGUUGGUGGAGGCACAGCAGGGGGGACCCCGCGAGUGGAGCGAUAGUCACGGUGCCCGGCACGGGGGGUGGGGAAUCCCUAGCACAACAUUUGCUGGAGGGCGAGUACCCCAUCGGCUGGAGAACCCCAAAGAUCCCCGAGUACAAGCUAGAGAGAUAUCGACCCAAGCGACCACCUUUAUUCCUUUAAAACAAACAUGGAGGACAGAACCGAUAGGAAGGACAUUUGGUGUAGAAUGUUUCGAAGGGCGUUCGCGGGUGACGACGUAGCGUGGUACAGAACACUCCCCAAGGCCUCGGUCCAUACCUUCGAGGAGCUAGAGAGAACCUUCUUGGCGGCGUUCGCCCACAAGUGAAGGAGACCGAAGACCAAAACCACCCUCAGUGCAGUAGUACAGGGGGACUUCGAGAGCACGCGAGCGUACAUGAACCGGUUCGCGAGGGUGGUGAAGGAAAUCAAAUGUAACGCCACUGACUCCAGAUCUAAGGAAUUUGUAGGAGGAGUAUUCGAGCCUGUUGACCAAGUCUCUCCUAUAUCAAAAAUGAGCGUUACUUGAAAUGGAGGACCCAGAGCCAUGGCCGUAGCUACAUGAGGGUCAGCUACUGACGAGAAUUGAAGAACUAUGUCGGCUCUUCUAUUCACCGAUGUCUGUGAAUAAAAUAUCGAUUAGAUGACUAUUAUAUUGUUGAUGAUAAUUAUGUUACGUUAUAAAUAUAUAUAUAUGUACAAUUGCAAAAUUUACACACGCCGCACGUUCCCAUGUAUCAAAAGCCUUUGUAAAUAUCCUUUUGCGGAUGUAAAAUGGAAUGGUAGUGCCAGACGGAUCGAGGUAGAACUUCACUCUACGAACGUCUCUGACCCGGGCAGUAGCAGGGAUGACUGCACUACAGGUUUGUCCGGAUGAAGUUGUUAUGGAUGCGAGGAGGAAGAAACCAAGGAAGACAAGAUAUGACAUGGUGAAUUAAUGACAAAAAUUUAGUUUCAAGCUUUGGGAAAUUGUGAUGUGUUCAAACUCAUCAUACACACCCAUAUUUAUACAACUUUUCUACAAUGUGAAUUUAAUGAGUUGAGAAUAAAAUGUUGACCGUAUUAAAGAGGGUGGACCCGUUUAAUGAAUAUUGAUGUCGAAAAUAUUUUAUUUUAUCACAUCAAAAUAAGUAGACAGACUUCAUUCUAUAUAGAGUUAGGUGAUAUCUCAAUUCUCACUAUUAAAUCCAAUUCCAACGACCCCACAUUUGAUUUCUACUUAUUCAUUUUGUUUAUUAAUUUAUUUAAAUAUCAUUAAAUAUGCACAUUAACUUGUAAAUUGUAAUCGGAAUCGCAUAAAUUUAGAUUUUUAUAUAAUUAAAUUGAGAUUUUGAUAUAAUUAAAAAGAUUUUGAUGUAAACUGACUUUUCAUGUCGAGAAAAAAAAUAUAAUUAAUGUUGACAAAUUUAUUUGCCCUACCUACUAAUUCUUCUGAUCAUUUGCAAUUUAUUUGGUAUCGAUAUAUAUUAGUGUGUCCAAAUUAUCAUACAAUUUUGCAUAUAUUUGCAAGUUGAAUUUUACAACUGGAAAUAGAUUACAAUUUAAAAACUUUUUUAAUUAAAAAUAAAAUAUUUUUAUUUUCUAACUUUUCAUAUCGAGAAAAAUUUAUAAUUAAUAUUAACAAAUACUUUUGUCCUAACCAGUUGCUUUUCAAUUAUCAUUAAUUCGUUAUUACACAUAUUUGCGUGUCCAAAAUAUUUUAUUUUAUCACAACAAAAAAGUGGACAGACUUCAUUCUAUCUGAAGUUGGGUGAUAUCUCAAUUCUCACUAUUAAAUCCAAUUCCAACGACCCCACACAUGAGAUUUCUACUUGUUCAUUUUGGUUAUUAAUUUAUUUAAAUAUCAUUAAAUAUAUGCAUUAACUUGUAAAUUGUAAUCGGAAUCGCAUAAAUUUAGAUUUUUAUAUAAUUAAAUUGAGAUAUUGAUAUAAAUUAUUUUUUUAUAUAAUUAAAAAGAUUUUGAUGUAAAACUGACUUCUCACGUAGAGAAAAAAAUAUAUGAUUAAUGUUGACAAAUUUAUUUGCCCUACCUAAUAAAUCUUCAGAUCUUUUGCAAUUAAUUUGGUAUCGACACUUUAACGGAUCCAAAUAAUCAUACAAUUUUGCAUACAUUUGCAAGUUGAAUUUUAUCACUGAAAAUAGAUUGCAAUUUAUAAAUUAUUUUAAUUAAAAAUAAAAUAAAAAUAUAUUAUUUUUUCUUCUAAUUUUUUACAUCAAGAAAAAUUUAUAAUUAAUAUUGACAAAUACUCUUGUCCUAACUAGUUGCUUUUCAAUUAUCAUUAAUUCGUGAUUACACAUAUUUACGUGUCCAAAAUAUUUAUUUUAUCACAUCAAAAGAAGUGGUCAGACUUCAUUCUAUCUGAAGUUGGGUGAUAUCUCAAUUCUCACUAUUAAAUCCAAUUGCAACGACCCCACAUUUGAUUUCUAGUUGUUCAUUUUGGUUAUUAAUUUAUUUAAAUAUCAUUAAAUAUGUACAUUAACUUGUAAAUUGUAAUCCAACGUGAUCGUAUAAAUUAUUUUUUGAUAUAAUUAAAAAGAUUUUGAUGUAAACUGACUUUUUGCGUCGAUAAAAAAUAUAUAAUUAAUGUUGACAAAUUUAUUUGCUCUACCUACUAAAUCUUCUGAUCAUUUGGAAUUAAUUUGGUAUCGACACAUAUUAGUGUGUCCAAAUUAUCAUACAAUUUUGCAUAUAUUUGCAAGUUGAAUUUUAUCACUGAAAAUAGAUUACAAUUUAUAAAUUAUUUUAAUUAAAAAUAUUUUAUUUUUCUCUUCUAAUACCACAAAAUAUAUGGACAAACACAAGUACUUUAUCUAAAGUGGAAUGAUAUUCUCAUGCACCAUUAAAUCCAACCACACAUAAGGGUUCAUUUUAUCCAAACCCCAACCCCACAUUUUUCACCAUUAAUUCUCACAAUUAAAUCCAACCCCAAUCCCAAAUUUAAUUACAAGUUUUUUCUUUUAGGUCAAAAUUUAUUUAAAUGUCAUUAAAUAUGUGCAUAAACAUGUAAAUAAUAAUCUAAUGUAAAUAGUAUAAAAUAAGAUUUUUAUAUAUUUAAUAGAUUUGGAUUUAAACAGACUUUUCACGUAUAGAAAAAUAUAUAAUUAAUGUCAAACAAUUAACUUGCCCUACCCAAUAAUUCCUUUUGACCGCUUACAAUUAAUUUGAGAUCGACACAUAUUUGCGUGUCCAAAUUUGCAUACAAUUUUGUAUACAUUUGUAAGUUGAAUUUUAUCACAAAAAAUAGAUUACUAUUUAUAAACUAUUUUAAUUAAGAAAAAAUAAAAAUGUUUUAUUUUUCUCUUCUAACUUUUCACGUCGAGAAAAUUGUAUAAAUAAUAUUGACAAAUACCCUUGUUCUAACUAGUUACUUUUCACUUAUCAUCAAUUUAUGAUCGACACAUAUUUGAGUGUCCAAAUUAUUUUACUUUAUCAUACCAAAGUAAGUAGACAAACUUCAUUUUAUCUGAAGUUUAGUGAUAUCUCAAUUCUCACUAUUAAAUCCAAUUCCAACGACAUCAUAUUUAAUUACUAGUUGUUAAUUUUAGGUCAUAAUUUAUUUAAGUGCCAUUAAAUAUGUGCAUAAACUUGUAAAUUGCAACCCAAUGGCAUCUUAUAUAAAUUUAGAUUUUUAUAUAAUUAAAUUGAGAUUUGGAUAUAAACUAUUUUUUGAUAUAAUUAAAUAAAUUUUGAUGUAAAAUGACUUUUCACGUCAAGAAAAAAUGAUGUAAAUUUUUUAUUUUCCCUACCUAAUAAUUCUUCUGAUCAUUUGCAAUUAAUUUGAGAUCGACACAAAUUCUUCUGAAUUUUAUCACAGAAAAUAGAUUACAAUUUAUAAACUAUUUUAAUUAAUUUAAAUAAAAAUGUUUUAUUUUUUACUUCUAACUUUUUACGUCGAGAUUUUUUUUAUAAUUUUUGUUGACAAAUACCUUUGCCCUAACUAGUUAUUUUUGUAGAAUCUAAAUUGUUGAUGCAUAUUAUGUAUUGAUAAUCAUGUUUAGUUAACCAUUAUCAUGUUGUUAUUCCCUAGCUAGGAUAAAUUGAAUUUGAAUUAAACCUAAUUUCAAUUAGGUUUAAUUAUAUUAAACCUUAGAAUUAUUUGAGCAUGUCUAAAUAAAGUCAAAAUUCAAAGAACGAUUUUUAUGGUCAACAAGUCAACAUGUUGUAGUUGAGAAUCAAUAGGGUAAAUUGAUUUGAAUUAAACCUAAUCUCAAUCAGGCACAUAUUAACCUUAGAAUUAUUUGACCAUAUAAAAAUUCAAGUCAAAAGUCAAAACCCUAAUUUCGUGGUCAACAUGUCAACAUUGUGUAUUUGAGAAUUAUUCCUAAUUACCAUUAACUAUUCUUAAUCUUUGUCUUAUAGCAAAUUUCAAUAUAAGGAUGGAAAUAAUACAAAAGAGGAAUUCAUGUGAAUAAUACAAGAAAUACAUGGGUUGAAGAGAAGCUAAACCUUGAUUAAAGAUAAACUUAUCAUAGAACAAAGGAAAAAUAUCCAACCACAUUUUUUACUCUUGUGAAAGAUCAAGGAACUAUUGAUUCAAGAUCUAAUGGAGAAGAUCAUUUGGUCAAAGCUAUAAAUAGAGUGGUAUACCCAUUGCAAAAGCCAACCACGCUACAAGAGAUUUUCAAAUAUCAGCAUUGAGCCCCUCAUUUCCACUCUUAACGUCCACAACUUUCAAAAUCUCCAAGUUUCCAACGUUUUCAAAUUGUGUUCAAAUGUUCUUGUUCAAAGGUGUCAAAAGCUCUACACUUCUUCUUCUAAUCUUCUUGAGUGUUCAUAGCAAGUUUGAAGUGUUGUAAUCCUAAACUUUCUCCAUCAUUUUCGUGUGUAUUCCACUUUAGUUGAGAGAGUUGUCUCAAAAUCACCAAAGUGGAAAGGAGGGUUAUUAGGCUUAAUCAUAAAGCUCUAAGUUAGUUUUAUAGAGUUAUCUAGAAAACUCUUAGGUGCUAUACGUCUACCUGGAAAGACUUGGGAAAGUUUUAAGUUUACUUUAAAAACUUAAAUGGUUCGUAAGCAUUGUAGUCUGUAAAAAGCCUACAAAAGGUUCGUAAGCAUUCACUACAAGAAAAGAAAUCUACAACGACGAUUUUGGAUCAUCGCUCAAUUUUAAGAAGGAUUUUAAAGAAAACACACGAUGUUAGCGACGAUAUAAAAAUGAUCUUUUUUUGUAUAAUUAACGACGAUAUAUUGAUAAUCGUCGCUAAAUAUACGAAUUAUAGCAACGAUUUAAAAUUUAACGUCGCUAAUAAUGAGUACAAAUUUAUAAAAUUUUAUAACAAUAAGGUAUUUAUGUAAAAUGACCCUUUUAUAUAUAAUUGUCUUUUAUUAUAAAAUCCCAAAUUUCCCUUUCACUAAGCCUAAACGCUCCAUUUUCCCAAUCUCUCCUAUCGCCGAAUUUCCCCAAUCUCCCCUAUCACUGGAUUUUCCCGCCAGUCAUCAUCAACGGACGAUAGAUUUUCCUAUCGGUCAUCAUCAACGAACGCCGGCAUCAAUAUGGAGCAGAUAUGUUCAUUGGGUUUCUAGCUGUAUCUUCCCUAUUUCUGUUUGGAUUUCUUGUUGGAUUUCUGUUUGGGUUUGUCAUUGGAGCUUGUUUGCAUCUUUCUGUUUGGGUUUGAAUCCUUGCUAAUUCGUUUUACACAAUGUUUUGUUUCUGUUUGAAUCGUUGCAUCGUUUUGUUUCUGUUUGAAUCCUUGCAUCGUUCUAUUUGGAUUUGAAUCCUAGCAAAUUCGUUUUACACAAUGUUCUGUUUCUGUUUGAAUCCUUGCAUCGUUCUGUUUGGAUUUAUGUUUGGGUUAGGAUUUUAUACAAUAUCAAAUAUAAAACUAAUAUCCUUUAGAAAUGCCAAAUAGUUUCAAAUUAAGACAUCAAUUAUCAAUCAAUAAAAUUAAAAUACAAGCAUAUCACAAAAAAAAUACUCGAUAUAUUGAUUGCUGGCAAUUGGAGAUGGUGGAUCUCCAGGUUGUAGAUUUAUAAAGUAUUUAUUUUUAUUUGGGGAUUGGAAAUUCUGUUUGGAUUUAUGUUUGGUGGGAAUGGGCUGGGAUCAUGUACUUAUAAUCAUAGAAUCCACUAGAUCAUCAGAUUAUAAGUGAUUUUCAUACCGAACCAGACCUGAAUAGGGGUUAUAUACAUUCUCAUUAUGAGAGGGUUCUAGCAUAUGUAAAUGGAAUUACUCGUUUGAAUCAGUUUUACACAAUGUUGAAUCGGUUUAAUUCGUUUUACACAAUAUUCUGUUUCUGUUUGAAUCAGUCAUUAUAUUACUGUUGGUGUAUAGACUUGUCGGUGCAAGCUCAAAACCUCAACUCUCUCAAGUGUUCACUCUCUCGUAUUGUCAACCCCCUCCCCUGUUGGACCAGGAGAGAUAUUUAUAGUUUCUUCUCGCCGACCUCGGGCCUCGUGGGCUCGUGUGUUGGGCCCGUCCACUCGCCUGGGCCGCCGACAGGCCCUGUUCGGUCCAUGGUACCAACAGUACUCCCCUCUUCCUCGACGGGCCCGGGCCCGGGGGCCGCCUGUCCCCGUCCCGUCUACAACCACCUCCAUUAAAGCUCCUCGGUGUUUGAGCCCAUCCUCCUUCUCCUUCCUAUAAAUAGCCUACUCGACUCUUCAACUUCUCAUACCAUCCCCCCUUCCGCCAUGAGUGUUCAAGACAUCCUCGAAGAGUACGGUCGCGAAGUGCAACUUCAGCAUGCCGCCUGGGCCAUGUGCCUGAUGUCGCCCGCCGACGUCCCUAACAGCGUGGCCGUGGCCGAGACUCAACGUCUAAACGCCGUGUUGAUCGACGUCCAUCGUCACCUCUCCCAGGUUCGCCACUCCGACCUUCUCGCCUACCCCGGUACCGCUCUUGCCGCCGUCUCGGGCUCCGCCGGCACCUCGCGUGCCUUCAGCGCGUAUGGUAUGAUCACCGCUCCUGCUGUCGCCGCCGCUGCCGAUUCUCUGCCAAAGCGUCGUCGGUCGCGCGGCCAUCGCCGCUCCCGGGGGUCUUCGUCCCUUCCGGCUACUGACCUGUGCCACUUCCUGUCGGGGUCCUCGAAGUCGGCCCGUGAUGAAGCACGGAAUCUGCUACCAGUAGGCUCGCGGGGUGGCGAGAUGAUCCGGAGGCUGUGGAGUCCACGACGCGCGCUCUACGUCAAACACCUGCAGAAGAGGAGGGGAAUCGACGACUCACGUGGGAGUAGACGAUUCGGGCUCCUUGGUUGCUCUAGUGUGGAGUGUGAGUCAAGAGAGUAAGUCAUGGAUGGAGGACACCCCUAGGACCCCUUUUAUAGGGUCCUAGAGGCGUUUCCAUUCAAUGGAGUGGGGCCCACCUCAUUAUGGUGCCCUAUUGAAGGGUGCCAUAAUGGGGUGGGCCCGCCCGCGUAACGGUUGGGAGUCGCCGAUCCAGGAGUGGAGUCGCCGAUUCCUUGGAGGCCAAGUCCUCGGUCUACCAGACCCGAGAUCCCUGGCCGGAAUCGGCGAUUCACCCUUGGAGUCGGCGACUUGGUAGUCCCAGUCGGCGACUCCUAAGUGUUAACUUGGGCUUUUGACGUAGACACGUGCUUCGCACCGUGGAAGCCUUUCCAGGGGUCCGGCAUAUAGUGACGGAACCCUAUUCCUUGUUUGAAGGGCGUUGCUGGGAGUGACUGACGUAAUCAGGCAUGUCUCACCAGUACUCCCCCCUGAAGAGAGUAUGGCUGAACACCCGUGUACCGCCAGUAUCCCCCCCCAAGCAAGGUGAUCCGCAUCAAGGCCAAAGCGACAAGAUGGGAUCGAAUCAAUGUGGCCACAGCGACACAAUGACUCCGUUACCCAUGCACUAUUAGAUGGGUUGAUUCACUAUCAGAAUCUAGUUCCAGGCCAAUAGAACUACGUGUUUAUAGUCCAACUCUGAUCAGGAGCGACUCUUUCUGUGUUAUCAUCAAGGCCGAAGCGACAAGAUGAAGGGAGAUUAUUAAGGCCCAAAGCGACAAAAUAAUUCUCAUCCAUUAAGGCCAAAGCGACAAAAUGAAGCGACUCGCUAUCAGAGUCUGAUUCUGACCAAAGCGACAGAAUGCGUGGAUCCUGGCCAAAGCGACAAGAUCUAGUUCACUAUCAGAACUGAUGUUUAUAGUCCACCCUGAUCAAGAGCGACUUUACGUCCGCAACGACGGUUACCCCACUAAGGUCGAAACGACAAAGUGGGUCGAGAUCAUUAAGGCCAAAUCGACAAAAUGAUCUCCAAGUCUAUCAAGGCCAAAGCGAUAAGAUAAGAGAAUUAUUGAGGCCAAAGCGACAAAAUAAUUCUUGGUCCAUUGAGGCUAUAGCGACAAAAUGGACUGACUCGUUAUUAGAGUCUGAUUUUGGCCGAAGCGACAGAAUGCGUGGAUCCUGGCCAAAGCGACAGGAUCGUUCCUGCAAAACAACUACAUCAGUCUAAAGGAUAUAUUUAUUGACUUACUGACCUUGCCGUGCGGGGCUGCUCCUCGUGCUGCUCCUUCCUAUGCUCAAUAAAUCCUCGAUUGAUCUGGCCGAAGCGACAGAUCUAUCAUGCUCAUGGUGUGACAGCUUCUGGCCAAAGCGACAGAAGUGUCGGGAAGAGUUUAUGAUACUCCCCCCCGAAUUUGACAACUUCUGGCCAAAGCGACAAGAGUGUCGGGACGAGCUUAUGAUACCCCCCCUUGAGAUCAUUAAGGCCGAAGCGUCAAAAUGACCCCUGGUCUACUAAGGCCGAUGCGACGAAGCAGACCGACUCACUAUCAGAGUCUGAUUCUGACCAAGGCUACAGAUCCACUAUCAGGAUCUACCAACCUCUUAUUCAUGACUGUUCCCUUAUUGGCAGGAACAUUGCCUCGAUGGCGCAGGCCAAUAGCAUGUCCAAUCAGAUGUAAAGCCACUGAGUGCAGAUCUAAGGAAUUCUGAGGACGAGGAGGAGUAUCGCCUUUUGCCCAAAUCUCUCCUGAAUCAAAAGUGAGCUCUACUUGCGGACUUGGAGGAGCCGUGGCCGAAGCUACAUGAGGUCCAGGUAUUGGCAAGAAUUGAAGAACUAUGUUGGCCUGACUUUUCACCGAUGUCUGUGAAUAAAAUAUCGAUUAGAUGAGUAUUAUAUUGUUGAUGAUAAUUAUGUUACGUUAUAAAUAAAUAUGUAGAUGAGUAUUAGGAACUUACAAUUGCAAAAUUUACACACGUCUGAGCUUCCCAUGUAUCGAAAGCCUUUGUAAAUAUGUUUUUGCAGAUGUAAAAUGGAAAAGGACAAGUCGGAUCGAUGUAGAACUUCACUGUACCACACCCCCAUUUUGCACAAAAAGGAGUGAAGUCGUUAUUGACUGCACUACAGGUUUGUCCAGAUGAUGUUGUUAUGGAUGCGAGGAGGAAGAAACCAAGGAAGACAAGAUAUGACAUGGUGAAUUAAUGACUAGAAUUUAGUUUCAAGCUUUGGGAAAUUGUGUUGUGUUUAAACUCAUCAUACACACCCAUAUUUAUACAACUUUUUUACAAUGUGAAUUUAAUGAGUUGAGUAUAAAAUAUAGCCAUGUUCAAUGUAUAUUAAAACUUUUAUAAAAUUCAAAUGUAUCUGAGGAUCGUAUUAAAAAGAAUAUGUACGAUGAAUAAUUUGUGGACAUGCAUAUAUAUAUUUUCGUAACACAACUUCAAUCCGCAUAAAGUUAACGAUCUUAUCUUAAAAAAAUUGGUUGUAUUUUAAAUACAUAUUAUAAUUAUGUUUAUUAUACAAAAUUAAAUUUUAUUAUAUUUUAAGCAAAAUAAAUUACAAUUUAAUUAUAUACUAUUUUCUGAUAAAAUCGAAAAAAUAUCGCCAUUGACUGCACUACAGGUUUGUCCAGAUGAUGUUGUUAUGGAUGCGAGGAGGAAGAAACCAAGGAAGACAAGAUAUGACAUGGUGAAUUAAUGACUAGAAUUUAGUUUCAAGCUUUGGGAAAUUGUGUUGUGUUUAAACUCAUCAUACACACCCAUAUUUAUACAACUUUUUUACAAUGUGAAUUUAAUGAGUUGAGUAUAAAAUAUAGCCAUGUUCAAUGUAUAUUAAAACUUUUAUAAAAUUCAAAUGUAUCUGAGGAUCGUAUUAAAAAGAAUAUGUACGAUGAAUAAUUUGUGGACAUGCAUAUAUAUAUUUUCGUAACACAACUUCAAUCCG